GCGUGUCGUCAUUCCUCUUCCCUCGGCUGCUUCUUGCCUCCACAUUCCCGCCAUGAAAUCCUAGCGCCAGUUCGGCUAAAUCUAGGGACAACAAGCGGUGCAAACAAAUGGGGUGGUGCCGCAGGCGUACAGCCGCUCCCGCGCGCGUGGCAGCACGUAGCGCGCGCUGUGCGGUGCAGCGGGCAGCCUCGACUGGCAUUGGCGGCUUGGCGUUCCGCUGCCCGCUGGAGGCAAGGAUGAACCACAUUGGCACAUCGCCAUCAAUUAGGAACAUACCAUGUCUUUUCUGAAAUUCGAAUGCAAAUGAACACCUCAUCCAACAGAAUGUUCAGGGAGGGAACACCUUUCAGAAAAGAAGAGAAACGGAGUGAUGGAACUCAACUGUGAAGGCUGCGUCUGCGCUUAGCUUUGUGAAUAUGGUGAUGGAUCUUAUGGUCAUUCUUGAAUUUGUCCAUGGCACCAUUCAUGCUAAACAACCUGUUCUAACCAUGUGGAGGGACACUGGUUCUGGGUGUUCAUAUGUUUUUUUUUUCUGGAGCUGCAAAUGCUUGGGGUAAACAAGCAUUCUGAUCGUUUUGCUGAGCUGCAUUACAGCGACAAAUUUGAUGAGCAAUAGAGGCAGAUUAAGCUGGAAGUUGAAAUCAAUGAAAUUUGGAAGUUCUGUUAA